rnacentral:rRNA from 1 species
UACGUAGGGUGCAAGCGUUAAUCGGAAUUACUGGGCGUAAAGCGUGCGCAGGCGGUUUUGUAAGUCUGUCGUGAAAGCCCCGGGCUCAACCUGGGAAUUGCGAUGGAGACUGCAAGGCUUGAAUCUGGCAGAGGGGGGUAGAAUUCCACGUGUAGCAGUGAAAUGCGUACAGAUGUGGAGGAACACCGAUGGCGAAGGCAGCCCCCUGGGUCAAGAUUGACGCUCAUGCACGAAAGCGUGGGGAGCAAACAGG